UACGGAGGAUCCAAGCGUUAUCCGGAAUUACUGGGCGUAAAGAGUUGCGUAGGUGGCAUUGUAAGUCAGUAGUGAAAGCGUUCGGCUCAACCGAAUACACAUUACUGAAACUACAGAGCUAGAGGACAAGAGAGGUUAUUGGAAUUCCUAGUGUAGGAGUGAAAUCCGUAGAUAUUAGGAGGAACACCGAUGGCGUAGGCAGAUAACUGGCUUGUUCCUGACACUAAGGCACGAAAGCGUGGGUAGCAAACGGG
rnacentral:rRNA from 1 species